AGUGAACGCUGGCGGUAGGCCUAACACAUGCAAGUCGAACGGCAGCACAGUAAGAGCUUGCUCUUACGGGUGGCGAGUGGCGGACGGGUGAGGAAUACAUCGGAAUCUACUUUUUCGUGGGGGAUAACGUAGGGAAACUUACGCUAAUACCGCAUACGACCUACGGGUGAAAGCAGGGGAUCUUCGGACCUUGCGCGAUUGAAUGGGCCGAUGUCGGAUUAGCUAGUUGGCGGGGUAAAGGCCCACCAAGGCGACGAUCCGUAGCUGGUCUGAGAGGAUGAUCAGCCACCCUGGAACUGGGACAGGGUCCAGACCCCUAGGGGGGGCAGGAGGGGGGAAUAUUGGAAAAUGGGGGAAAGCCUGAUCCAGCCAUCCCGGGGGGGGAAAGAAGGCCUUCGGGUGUUAAAGCCCUUUUGUGGGGAAAAAAAAGCAGCAGGUUAAUACCCCGCUGUUCUGACGGUACCCAAAAAAUAAGCACCGGCAACCUUCGG
rnacentral:rRNA from 1 species